AAAGAUUAAGCCAUGCAUGUCUAAGUAUAAACAAUUUUGUACUGUGAAACUGCGAAUGGCUCAUUAUAUCAGUUAUAGUUUACUCGAUAGUACCUUACUACUUGGAUAACCGUAGUAAUUCUAGAGCUAAUACAUGCACAAAUACCCAACUGCUUGUCGGACGGGUAGCAUUUAUUAGAUUGAAACCAAUGCAGUCUUCGGGCUGGUAUUGUGUUGAGUCAUAAUAACUGUGCGGAUCGCACUCAGUGCGAUAAAUCGAUUGUGUUUCUGCCCUAUCAGCUUUGGAUGGUAGGAUAUGGGCCUACCAUGGCAU
rnacentral:rRNA from 1 species